rnacentral:rRNA from 1 species
UUCCCUACUGGGCGCAGCAGUGGGGAAUAUUGCACAAUGGGGGAAACCCUGAUGCAGCGACGCCGCGUGGGUGAAGAAGUACUUCGGUACGUAAAGCCCUAUCAGCAGGGAAGAAAAUGACGGUACCUGAAGAAGAAGCCCCGGCUAACUACGUGCCAGCAGCCGCGGUAAUACGUAGGGGGCAAGCGUUAUCCGGAUUUACUGGGUGUAAAGGGGGCGCAGACGGCGAUGCAAGC